GCUAAGAGAAUGGACUCUCAGAGAAAAACUUUUUUUAAAUUAAAAAUUGAAAUUUUUUUAAUUUGUGCAGAAACAAUUAUUAAUAUUAAGGACAAGAAGACCCUAUGAAUUUAUUAAAUUUCAUUCAAUAUGUAAUUACUAUUGAAGAAAUUUUGGCUGGGGCGGCUAAAAAAUAUUUUAAACUUUUUAAAAAUAAAAUGAUCCAUUAUUAAUGAUUAUAUGUUAAAUACUCUAGGGAUAACAGCGUUAUAUUUUUUGAUAGACCAUAUUGACAAAAAAGUUUGCGACCUCGAUGUUGGAUUAGGAUACUUUUUUAAUGCAGAUAUUAAAAAAAGAAGUUUGUUCAACUUUCAAUUUCCUACAUGAUC
rnacentral:rRNA from 1 species